AACGAACGCUGGCGGCAUGCCUAACACAUGCAAGUCGAACGAAGCCUUCGGGCUUAGUGGCGCACGGGUGCGUAACGCGUGGGAAUCUGCCCUUUGGUUCGGAAUAACAGUUGGAAACGACUGCUAAUACCGGAUGAUGACGAAAGUCCAAAGAUUUAUCGCCAGAGGAUGAGCCCGCGUAGGAUUAGCUAGUUGGUGUGGUAAAGGCGCACCAAGGCGACGAUCCUUAGCUGGUCGGAGAGGAUGAUCAGCCACACUGGGACUGAGACACGGCCCAGACGCCUACGGGAGGCAGCAGUGGGGAAUAUUGGACAAUGGGCGAAAGCCUGAUCCAGCAAUGCCGCGUGAGCGAUGAAGGCCCUAGGGUUGUAAAGCUCUUUUACCCGGGAUGAUAAUGACAGUACCGGGAGAAUAAGCCCCGGCUAACUCCGUGCCAGCAGCCGCCGUAA
rnacentral:rRNA from 1 species